rnacentral:rRNA from 1 species
UACGUAGGGCGCAAGCGUUGUCCGGAAUUAUUGGGCGUAAAGAGCUCGUAGGUGGCUUGUCACGUCGGGUGUGAAAGCUUGGGGCUUAACUCCAGGUCUGCAUUCGAUACGGGCUGGCUAGAGGUAGGUAGGGGGAGAACGGAAUUCCUGGUGUAGCGGUGAAAUGCGCAGAUAUCAGGAGGAACACCGGUGGCGAAGGCGGUUCUCUGGGCCGUUACCUGACGCUGAGGAGCGAAAGCGUGGGGAGCGAACAGG